GACGAACGCUGGCGGCGUGCUUAACACAUGCAAGUCGAACGGAAAGGCCCUGCUUUUGUGGGGUGCUCGAGUGGCGAACGGGUGAGUAACACGUGAGUAACCUGCCCUUGACUUUGGGAUAACUUCAGGAAACUGGGGCUAAUACCGGAUAGGAGCUCCUGCUGCAUGGUGGGGGUUGGAAAGUUUCGGCGGUUGGGGAUGGACUCGCGGCUUAUCAGCUUGUUGGUGGGGUAGUGGCUUACCAAGGCUUUGACGGGUAGCCGGCCUGAGAGGGUGACCGGCCACAUUGGGACUGAGGUACGGCCCAGACGCCUACGGGAGGCAGCAGUGGGGAAUAUUGCACAAUGGGCGGAAGCCUGAUGCAGCAACGCCGCAUGCGGGAUGACGGCCUUCGGGUUGUAAACCGCUUUCGCCUGUGACGAAGCGUGAGUGACGGUAAUGGGUAAAGAAGCACCGGCUAACUACGUG
rnacentral:rRNA from 1 species